GAAAGUAGUGUUGUCCUGUUCAAGCCAGAACAUAUUUGGCUAUGCCCUUAAUUUAUUUUUAUUUUUUCCCUUCCUCCCCAGCUAAACAGACGUGCGAACAAGAAGAAGGCAUCCAAGACGGCAACAACCAAGGAGGAGCCUACGCCGAAACUGGUUGGCAAAGGUCGUGGAUGCACCAUCGAAACUGGGGACAAUUGCACCAUUGAAGUGAGUCAGCUGGCGGCCAAGGACUUGGACGCAAGCGCUACCGGCUCGGAUGAAAACGACUGCCCGGCCGCGGCUGCUGUGCCCACCUUGCGCAUUGCUGGCGCCACCGUCACUGAAAGCGACACCGACGGCCCACUUAGCUCUAACGGAGCCGCAGCGGCAGCGGCCUCGGAACAGUUCGCCUCUGUCUAGCCCGUCAUCAAGGACCUAGCAGCUGCCACACGCACCGCGAGUUGCUAGUGUGUUGACCGGCCUGCCUCGAUUCCCAGUGCCGACAGUUUUUUGUUCGCUUCUUUGAUCUCUGCUUGUUAUGGUACCACUGUACAUUACUUUUUUUUACCUCGUUAUACUCUACAUGAUGAUUUCAUUUUUAUUUUGUUAGUAGAUCCGUCUAAAUGUGGUGCUGUUUGGGCUCAACGUAUUGGUGGACUGCAGGUGAAGACGUAGUCAGCGAUACUUCCAGCACCAUCUUGAUAAUAAUCGCUUGUGACAUCAAGACUGCCUGCAGGUUCACUGCAAGCCAGUGAGCAAUGAGUGGAAGCGAGAGCAUCUGCAUUGCUUGGUAACGCGCUAAGCAGCCUGCAUUAGUUGGUUUGGGUGCAUUAGCAGUUAACAUAGUGGAAACGACUUGGAGGUGUUGUCACUGAUAAAGCCGAGCCCACUGUGGCGCCCCCAAGGAAAGAAAAGCAGCAAAAUUGCAGCCUCUCACAAGCUAUCAACUGGUUGUGCACAUUGCCGGCAUGUAACCUCGACGGUAUCACGACCGGUUCUUGAAAAAGGCAACGACACAUGUACUUAUACUGGCAAUGUUUUCAUUAGGUAUUCUCAAUAUCUUGAAUUCGGUACGUCAUAACAUCCUCUUCCUGCUGCGCCUAGACCUUGUCAUAGCCAGAAAAUUAACCACUUCUUAUAGUCAGGCCGAAUUAGAAAGGACCUUAUUUUUUCAUUUCUGUCUAACUAGCUCUGCCUAAAUGCGUACAACUCUCUUCUCUUAUGAUGUUUUAACAAGUCUUUCACGCGCAGUCGACUGUCGGCACUGGAAUGCGCGAGAGGUUGGUCAGCAGUAGAGACCCACGGAGUGGUGUGUCAUCAACGAUCUUUCCACUUCUUCAUCCUCAUCUGUCCCUCUUUUUUUUUUGUCUGGCAAAAGUCUCCCCAAUUGUUGUUACAGCACGUGUGAACCGGACACGUCUCGGCUGCGCCGAGCAGUGGUGUGGGCCACACCGUACCUGAACAUGCGGCAUCACCGAGGACUUGUUGGGGAUGAACUUGUGCGUGCAUGUGUGUGUGUCUGUGAACAAGUGAGACAAUUUUUCAUCUAUGAGUGCUCGACCAUUGCAUUUUUUCCCCCUGUGCUUUUUUUUUUUUUACGAACUCAUCGUGGACUUGAAAGAUCAAGCGACGACUCAUUAGCAUCAAAGGACAUCUUGUCAAAACAAGGAUUUGCACCGUGUCACUCUUGGGCGGAGACGUGGCACUUUCCGCACACGUCGCGUCGUCUGCCCUGGUUGCUGUGUGCCAACUGCAUCGAAUCGAGCCUACAGUGUAUUGAGCUGUGCCCAAACUGAAAGAUGGCUGCGGUCGGGCCACAAUCUGUGCCCGCUGCUCUCGUGAGCUGUGGCUUUUUAAAACGCCAGUCACAUCGAUUAGGAAAGUUGGUCAUACAAUGAAGCCCGGGUGUGUGAAGUACUGGUCUGAUGAACCCAUGCUUAGCAGCAACUGCUUGUCUCUCAACUUUAACAUUGGCACACCAGACCUUUGAUAAUGUGGCAGCCUUUUUACUUUUGUUUUGCAUGUAGACGCAAGAAAAGUAUCUUUACAAACCGAAAAUGUUUCAGUGUACAGAGUGCGGUAAUGAUCGGAGAAACAAAGCUCAUAAGAAAAUAAACGCUAAAGCCGUUGGGCAUUCCGAGCACUGCGUGAGUGUAACCACAGCUUUGACGGCGUUUGCAGCAUAGGAGACACAAUUCCAGGGACCAGAUGCAAGCAGACGUCAGCGUACGGUGUGCAUGUACAGUGUUUUACUCCUUUUUUUUUCUGUUAGGUUUUUGCGAGGUGUAUAUUUAUCGGAGAGCAGUGUUGGUGAGAACUGGGAACAAGAUGGCCGCCGACUGACUGUGAAUUACGCAACGUCUAAACGAGGAGGAGAGUGAGAGAUUUGCAAUGGUGAUGAUGGCUGGUAUUUCAAUGGCCACCGGAGUUUCGCAAUGACAGAAGCGGCUCGUAUCUUGUAUUUAUUUUUUUUUUUCUUUGAACAGUAGAUAAUGGUUCGUCUUGCGCCACCUUAGUUUUUAAAGUGGCCUCGGGGCAGUGGUUACUGCUGCUGCUGUUCCCUGCCGUUUGGUUUCACAGUAAACCAGCGAAACUGUAGGAACAGGGGAUAAAGGAAAAUGCUUUUUAAUGGAAAAAAAAGCAAAAGCGUAAAAAAACCGUAGAGGCACGAUCACGCGAUCAAUGCCCCGCUAACCGCCCUCGCAACGCUCGCCCAGUUUGGGGGACAUCCGUUGUUCGGGGGGUGGAAACAUACAACUACCAUAGUGAAACAUGAAAAACUUUUGUCCAGAACCCUCUUUCGGGGAGUUUUGGUUGCAGCGGUCUUGCGAGACGCACUCGCAGCGCGACGACUCUAAGAUUACUUUCCUUUGGGCUGCGACAACAAGGCUUUGGAAGGUGGGGAAGAUUCCUCUGUCUGAAAAAGAAAAGGCCGGGCAGACCCAGCGUUCGUUCACUUGUCGCCCCUCUUGACUCUCUUUUGAAUGCUAGCCUCCCACCCACAAAAAAGGCAGCCAAAGCAUUGCUAAUUGUUUCCAUGUUGACAGGGAGUUAGGUAACGUGCCAUCAGCUAUGGCCUUCUUCCAAUGAUAACCACCGCAUUGGCUUUCUGUUGCAUGCGUCGGCGGAGCCAUUGCAAUAUAAUGAUCAAAGACACGAACGCUUACUCAGUUUAGAGAAAAGAAGCAAAAAAACUGAAGCUAAGAAAGGAAGUUGCGCCGAAAAAGCGCCACGUUGGCACUAAACUUGCUGCUUUGAGACACUGUGCUUGCAGAACUUUUGACGGGAACACUCUUUUUUUUUUUUUUUUUUUACCCUGAAAAACCUAUUGAGAGGCACAAAGGGCGCUUCUUUGUCCUCAACCCCUCCCACCCCUCUCCCAGUUAUAUUUUAUUCAAGGUUUUUAAGGCAAGACCAAAAAAAGAAAAGUGUCACAACCUUUCAAACUAAGCGUCCUGCUUCUACUACUCGACAUCGUAGACAAAGUACUCCGCGCAUAACUCACUUCAAGAACAAGGGAGCUCACCACCGAGUUCCGCACCGCAAAAUGAACGGAGGCAAACGUGUCUUGCGAUAUUUUUUCAAGACUAAAGCUGUCGCGCGCGUGCAACUUCUUUAAAGAGAUAGCCAACAGCCCCACUCUUCAAGCGGCAUCGGGUGCGCCCGACAGCCGAGGGCACAUAGACGACGUAACGAAAGACGUAACUGUAACGUGACAUAACGUGGCGUCCUGAGCGGGGACAGCCGUUCCCACACACAGCGACGACCAGACUUCAUGCUUUAAUGCGGGUGGGUAUUGGGGGAGGGGUCUACGGGUGCUUGCCCCUCUGUUCUUCGGAAUGCUCGACGAGCGCUCUCAUUUUUCGUGGCAUCAAGCAGCGAAGCGAAGACCGAGCCGGCGCGACAGCAAAGCCGCAGCAAUGGUUCUCUCUCUCCCCGACUGCACGCACCCGCCCCCUUUCACCACACUCCGCAGCAUAAAUUGCAUGAGCGAUCUUUUUUUUUUUUCUUUUGUAAACCCAUCCGGUUGCGCCGGACAGGGCAGUGUUCUUGUGGCAUCCCUCGCUUUUAGUUUUUUCUUUAACCUCCCCCCUUCUUGCUAUGAGAACAGCUUUUCACUUGAAAAGUGAGCGGCAGACGACUCAAAGCGUCGUCUGCAGCCGUAUUAGCUUUACUUGAACGCUAGACUGAGUGUAGGUGGGGAGCCAGUUAGCCUCAGAGCUUUUGUGUAAAUGUGUCGGGCAGUCGUUCACUGCUUUGCUAUAGGACCAGCUCCUGUUCUUGUUCCUUUAGUUUGCGCUUUUGGCACUCUUGCGUUUAAUGGGUAGCGGCUGCCCUCUCCCAUUUGUUAUAUUAUUGUGCCCCGCGAGUUUUUUCAGAAACCGCGUUCAUUUUGUAGUGGCAACUGUUUCUUGGUCCUCGUAGCGAAGGCUUCAGUGACAUGUCGAGCAGCGUUCGCGUCCAAUUCUUUCUUUUUUCAUUUGCCGAAACUGCUUUGAUGCCCAUAAAUGUACUACUGUAUUGAGAUGAGUUUUUGGUGUUUGUCUGCGUAAACGCCGGGCCUAGCGCCCUUGAUAUGCAUGCUGGGACACGGCACCGUUAGGCGGUCCAAAUGUUUUGAAAUGUGUAUUAUUAUCAUGAUUAUCACUAUUAUUAUUACCUGUGCUAGGAAACUACUGCUGGAGUGAACAAACACAGGAGAGAGAGAGAGCGAGAAAAAAAAAUAUUCGUGUUGUAGCAUUAACACCGAGCACCAAUGUUUGCCACUACAUGCCGUGGGGGAAAAAAAAGUUAUUACAAGUGGGUGCACUGUAUCGGUUUGUUAGACAAAUGUACGUCUGCAGUAUUGCAUUCUUGAUUGUUUAAUCUGCUUGCUGACUUUUUGCCUUUCAUAGGCUACAAUGACCCUAGCACUGAGUGAGUGAGUGCUGUAUUUUUUUGUCUUAAUUCCUUGAGCGAACAGUGUAAAUCUUUGUGCUUUGUGAAGCUUGUCAGUGCAACAAGAAGGAAAGGCCUACUUUCUGCAGAGCCAGGAACUUGGCACUGCAGGUUGGCCGGGAUCUGGCUGCACACCAAAUGGAGGAAACGCAGACUCAUUCUUUCGAAAUGUUUGCCGCUGCCACCGCUCAUGCGAACCCCUGAACAGGAACACCAGCAAGCCCACUGUGCAUAUGUGAUUAGCGCGGCAGUUGCAUACCAAGAUGUUUCCUGUUUUGGAAGUAGUUUGUAAAGUGUGUGCUUGCGACUUAUAACAAUUCUGCUGGUGUGUGCGUAUCACACGUUUCGGCAGGCUGUAGCGAAAUUAUUGAAACAGGCAUCAGUUGCAUCUGCCAGCUGCUGCAUUAGCUGUCUUGGAUUUGUGAAACCCAUUGCUGGGUGCUUGCCUAGCAGUUAUUAGAUACCCUGCCGAACUGCUCAAACUUCAGACUCUAAAUUGUAGGAGGACCAUAACGGUAAAACGACUCUGGCUAAACUUCAUCGCAGGUGGGUUCCUUUCUUGAUUCGCAUCGUUUCCUCCAUCUUGUGUGCUUGCUUCGUUGCGAUAAAACUGGCAGCGAGCCUCGAGAGUGACACCACAGGCACGGUGCAGACAGGCUGGUGCAUCUGACGACGGCUGGUUACAGGCUCGACACAGGCUAUGCAUCUGUUUUAUCUGGCUAGUGUAUAACAGUAUUGUGGCACAACUUUUCCUUUUUCUCACUUGCACCUGCCAGAGAGCUCUUAAUAAUUUCACUGGCAGCUUAGAGUCAUACACAUCGUUAUCCCAACAGAUUUGUCUUGUCAGUUGCAGUUAGAUAAGGCUGGCAGUAGCAGUGAUGACUGAUGCGCCUGUUUGGCCUAACACACUCGUGCUAGUCGUCAAGUUUCAAAUACAGUAGGAGAACAAUUACUGUACAGUCUUUUUAUUCUGCUGUAUUCUUUGCGUGUAUUGAUCAGAUGUUAUGCUUCAGCCUUAUGUGCCAGUGAAAACUGGACACUCUUGACGCAUAUCUAACUUCUCAAUCCCCAUCACUCUUGAUUGGCGCUUGAGCUGGAUCUUACUGGCACCUUUGGGUGGUUUGCGCAAACGUGCAUGUCAGGAUGUGCAUACCGAGGGCUCAAUUCAAAAAGGGACUCAUGCGACUGUGGUGACCUCACCCACAUUAAUCAAAAUUGUGCGUACAUCUAGCGCUAUGCCCAAUCAAGCUUUUCUUAAUCAAACCCAUUUUGUACAACACACUCGUCAAGCCUGUACUUUUUAGCUCUCAGUAGUGCACCAGCCGACUAGCCACCAAGUGCCGCGUCGGAGCAAGGGGUCUUUGAAUUUUUCUGCAUAUAUAGCAUGUUGUUUCUUUUGGUUAUUGUUCUCUCCGAGUGCACCUUACUAACCUGUCUACUCCCCCCCCCUUAUUUUUUUCUUUAGGCCAACGUGUUGUAGUAAGUGGGUUGUCUGUAUAAUUGUCAAGUUUUUUGGCACGAGCAUUUAUUACGCCAUGGUAACCAGUUAUCUUGAUAAGCAGUGUAUCUUCUUAACAUUAAUCGGUGUCGCGGAGGAAACGCCGCACUACGGCUGCGAAAAAAAGGACCGGGAGGAGAGAGAGAGAAAAAAAAAAAAAACACUUGUGGGGUUUAACAAGCGUCGCCGCCGCGUACCACAACUCCAGUUACUGUAUGCGAUUGCAUGUCUUGCGCGGGCAUCCCCGGAAGCCCGCAUUACUGUCAAUUUGUAACCUUUUUCUUUUCUUGCAGCGCAUGGUCAUUUCAAAUAUUUUUUUUUACACUUUCUCCACUGUAAGGAUGAGCAGGAUGAUUCAGAGAACAGGCAACGGGAAACAAAAAGGCCUUUCAGCGAGAGGGCUGGCUUAGUAUGCUCACAGGAGGCAUUGACGUAAUUGCAUCAAAGUGGGGACAAUCUGUGAUUGGGCUCGGGGAUAAAGCGGGGGAAUCAAGGUGGACUGUCAAUGAAACGGCCUAGGUACUAGGUGGUUGGGAGGGGAAAUGCAUCAGUGCGACAAAUUGCAGCAUGUACCAGGUUGAAAGUUGGUUGAACAGUCUGUGUUGGCGGGCAUGGCGUGCGUUGAAGUCUCAACUUCGCCGAAAACGGGAGAGGGAAAAAGACUGCAUCUGUGUGAGCAGGCUGUCGCUGCGAUGCCCGGCGCGUCGGCAGUUGUGCGUCGUCAUGCUGGUCUCUGGAGAGGGAUGUAAUUCAUGUGUUGCCAGUUUUGUGAAUAAAACUGAUUUGUUUUCCUCAA